GGUGUUGAUUGCGGUGAGGGUCCACCCGUUCCCAUUCCGAACACGGCAGUUAAGCUCAUCUGCGCCGAAAAUACUUGGCUGGCGACGGCCCGGGAAGAUAGGUAACGCCAACA
rnacentral:rRNA from 1 species